rnacentral:rRNA from 1 species
AGAUCAUCCGCCCGGGUAAUACGAGCGCUAGCUUAAAAUCCAAAGGACUUGGCGGUGCUUUAGACCCCCCUAGAGGAGCCUGUUCUAGAACUGAUAACCCCCGUUAAACCUCACCACCUCUUGCUUAAUCCGCCUAUAUACCACCGUCGUCAGCUUACCCUGUGAAGGUAAAAUAGUAAGCACAAUUGGCAAAGCCAUAAACGUCAGGUCGAGGUGUAGCGAAUGGGUUGGGAAGAAAUGGGCUACAUUCUCUACCACAGAGAAUACGAAUGGCCGUUUGAAAAGACCGCCUUGAAGGAGGAUUUAGCAGUAAGCGUAGAAUAGAGUGCUCCGCUGAAAACGGCCCUGAAGCGCGCACAC